rnacentral:tRNA from 1 species
GGCGAUAUAGCUUAAAUGGUUAGAGCGGGAGAAUCAUAAUCUCCAGGAGUGGGUUCGAUUCCCACUUUCGUCU